rnacentral:rRNA from 1 species
AUGUACAUGCUUACAAGAUAGCAUUAAUGCACCAGAUCCCAUUAUAACUCCACAGUUAAGCGUUCUUGGGUUAGAGUAGUACUCGGAUGGGUGACCGCCUAGGAAUUUCUAGUAUUUUAUAUG